GAUGAACGCUGGCGGCGUGCUUGACACAUGCAAGUCGAACGAUGAAGCCCAGCUUGCUGGGUGGAUUAGUGGCGAACGGGUGAGUAACACGUGAGCAACCUGCCCCUGACUCUGGGAUAAGCGCUGGAAACGGCGUCUAAUACUGGAUAUGUCCCGUCACCGCAUGGUGUGCGGGUGGAAAGAUUUUUCGGUUGGGGAUGGGCUCGCGGCCCAUCAGCUUGUUGGUGAGGUAAUGGCUCACCAAGGCGUCGACGGGUAGCCGGCCUGAGAGGGUGACCGGCCACAGUGGGACUGAGACACGGCCCAGACUCCUACGGGAGGCAGCAGUGGGGAAUAUUGCACAAUGGGCGGAAGCCUGAUGCAGCAACGCCGCGUGAGGGAUGACGGCCUUCGGGUUGUAAACCUCUUUUGGCAGGGAAGAAGCGAAAGUGACGGUACCUACAGAAAAAGCACCGGCUAACUACGUG
rnacentral:rRNA from 1 species